rnacentral:rRNA from 1 species
CUAACACAUGCAAGUCGAGCGGUAACAGAUCCAGCUUGCUGGAUGCUGACGAGCGGCGGACGGGUGAGUAAUGCAUAGGAAUCUGCCCGAUAGUGGGGGAUAACCUGGGGAAACCCAGGCUAAUACCGCAUACGUCCUACGGGAGAAAGGGGGCUUCGGCUCCCGCUAUCGGAUGAGCCUAUGUCGGAUUAGCUAGUUGGUGAGGUAAAGGCUCACCAAGGCAACGAUCCGUAGCUGGUCUGAGAGGAUGAUCAGCCACAUCGGGACUGAGACACGGCCCGAACUCCUACGGGAGGCAGCAGUGGGGAAUAUUGGACAAUGGGGGCAACCCUGAUCCAGCCAUGCCGCGUGUGUGAAGAAGGCCCUCGGGUUGUAAAGCACUUUCAGCGAGGAAGAACGCCUAGCGGUUAAUACCCGCUAGGAAAGACAUCACUCGCAGAAGAAGCACCGGCUAACUCCGUGCCAGCAGCCGCGGUAAUACGGAGGGUGCAAGCGUUAAUCGGAAUUACUGGGCGUAAAGCGCGCGUAGGUGGCUUGAUAAGCCGGUUGUGAAAGCCCCGGGCUCAACCUGGGAACGGCAUCCGGAACUGUCAAGCUAGAGUGCAGGAGAGGAAGGUAGAAUUCCCGGUGUAGCGGUGAAAUGCGUAGAGAUCGGGAGGAAUACCAGUGGCGAAGCGGCCU